AAAGAGAAAGUGAUGGUGGUAGAUUUUAGACAUUUCAUUUAAGGUUAUUUGGAUAUAUCUCUCCUAUGUAGCAAUUGUAUAUAUAUGGAUCCGCAUCCAUCCAUCCUUCCUGUUCCUAGAAAUAUCUGAUUCACUCGCCUUCUGAUACUUUCUUUAAUGCCAUGGAUUGGUCUGUUCAAGAGAUUUCGACUCUUGGUGGAUCUCGCCUCCUUUAAUUGAAGGAUCUGUGAUAGUUCCUCCAGAUCUCGUUAAUCCUUGUCCCAAGUCAUAAGUUCCUCCAGAUCUUCUACCGAAUCAUCAUAUACUUCUACGUAUAAGAACAAAGGAGUUCCAUAAAAGGACAGAAAGACACAGUGAGGAACAGAGAGAUUGUCAUCCUCCAUCAACAGUUCCUUCUUUGAAAUUCUCGAAAGUCAACUCUGCUUCGUCUCCUACUCUAAGAAAACUAUUUCAUUAACAAGAGUCGUUCAGUGCCCUUAAUGUAUUAUCUGUUUAUAAUGCAGAAAUUACUCAUGGCAAUCAGAUUUAUAUCAAUUCCAUUUAUAAGUUGGACUUUGUGAUAUACAGAUAAUUAUACAACCUGGACACUUCAAUCUCAAGCCUGAUUUCUAUAUUACUACUGAGUCUAAUUUGUCAUUGGAAAACAAAUGCAAAAUUAUUAUAGACUCGCAAAGAUAAAGUGCUUCUCUUUUCUCGAUAUUUUGAUAUACAAAGCAUAUUCUAUUCUGAUAUAGAUUUAAAUAGUUAUUUGGAACUGGAGAGUUCCAAAAGAAGAAAUAAUUCCUGAAUGAGUUACCGAGUGAGGAAAAAAGAGUUAUCAUUUCCCAUCCAGAGCUCCUUUGUUGAAAAUCUUGAAGGCUCUUCCUUCCAAAGUCGACUUUAUACAUCUCUUAUUCUGAGAAAAAGAUUUCAUUGUUAAGAAUCCUUCAGUUUCCUUGAUGUAUAUAAGGCAGAAAUCCCUUGGAAAAAAGUCGAAGUCAAUCUUAGAAGCUUAAGGAAUAUGCAGCCUUUUUUCUCGACACUUUAGUCUACAAUAUAUAUUAUAUUUUGCUAUUAUCUGCAUAAAUAGAUUUUGUGAAUUAUUGAGUACUAAAUUAUUAUGUGAUAACAAAUUAUAAGUGACCUUAACUUCUCUAAACUUCUAUUGGAAAACUUUAUUAUAAUUGCAAUUUCGAAACUUACUUAGUCAUAAUCAUCUUCUAAAAAAAUGAAUUGCUUAUUACCAUAUUGGAAUAUUACCCCAAUGAAGAUUUAGGAUCUCCACACUAAUAAAGAUAAUUAAUAACUGUUUCCCUUAAUAGUUCUUAUAUUUAAUUAUUAGUUAUUUUAAAAUUAAAAAGCCCAAUAGGAAGAUAGAAAUCUCCAGUUUCUAAUUAAUUGACAAAUAGCUUUUUAAAGCAUCGUCUUGGAUUUGUCAACGUCAAUCAAAUUUGUCGAGUUUUGGUCGCUCAGAAUAUCAUAAUGUAAAGCUAACUAGCAUGUAAUGUGGUUAAAUAUAAUAAAUGUGAAACUCUUUUAAGAUUACACCUAUAAACACUAUCUUGCAAAGUUUCGAUGAGAUCUCGAUCUUCGCCAGAAAAUUGAACACCAUGAGUUAUUGAUUUAUCAGAAUUCAAAAAGGUCGUGCAUUCGCAGUCUUUAAUUUUGUAAAACCUAAUGAUGGAAGAGGCUAUGUAUCCGGAUAUACAAAACAAUAAAUUGGCUUGAUAUUUUUCCAUAAUAAGAUUAGAAUUAGAAAAUAAAUAUAUGUUUUUGGAACAAUUGGAUCAAUGCUUACAAAUUAUAAGAUGUUUUUAUUUUAACAUUCAUACUUAUUAUUUAAUAUUCAUAAGUUUCUAGAAUAAAUUCAUGUCUUUAUUUAUAUAUAAAAAAAAUAUACGGAAUAUUAAUAUAAUGUUA
rnacentral:lncRNA from 1 species